rnacentral:tRNA from 1 species
GGGACGUUAGCUCAGCGGUAGAGCGUCGCCCUUACAAGGCGAAUGUCGUAGGUUCGAUCCCUACACGUCCCACCA